UGUCGUGGCCUAAUGGUUAGAGAGUCAGACUUGUAACCUGAAGGUUGUGGGUUCGAGUCUCAAUCUGGCAG